rnacentral:rRNA from 1 species
GACGAACGCUGGCGGCGUGCUUAAUACAUGCAAGUCAACUGAACUUGAAGUAGCAAUAUUUCAAGGGAGGUGGCGCACGGGUGAGUAACACGUAGGUAAUCUGCCUUUAGGUCUGACAUAAUUCCGCGAAAGCGGGACUAAUUUCAGAUGAUGCAGCGGCUCGACAUCGAGACAGUUGUUAAAUCUUCGGAGCCUAAAGAUGAGCCUGCGUCUGAUUAGGUAGUUGGCGGAGUAAAAGCCCACCAAGCCUGCGAUCAGUAGCUGGUCUGAGAGGAUGAUCAGCCACACUGGAACUGAGACACGGUCCAGACUCCUACGGGAGGCAGCAGUAAGGAAUAUUGCUCAAUGGCCGAAAGGCUGAAGCAGCAACGCCGCGUGGAGGAUGAAAUACUUUUGUAUGUAAACUCCUGUAAGAAGGGAAAAUAAUUCCGAUUUAUCGGGAUUGAUUGUACCUU